rnacentral:sRNA from 1 species
GCCUAGCCCUGAUAGCAACGGCAUCUUUUUGUGUUGGGGUUCAACACAAAAAAUACAGUGAAUAGCAGGAAUAAGC